CAACCAGUUACCGAUGUCCCGCCAUGUGUAACGGAGUCCUAGCUAGCUACCAACCAACCAGUUACCGCUGCCUCCCGCCUUGUGUAACGGAGUCCUAGCUAGCUAGCUACCAACCAACCAGUUACCGCUGCCUCCCGCCUUGUGUAACGGAGUCCUAGCUAGCUACCAACCAACCAGUUACCCCUGCCUCCCGCCUUGUGUACCAGAGUCCUAGCUAGCUACCAACCAACCAGUUACCCCUGCCUCCCGCCUUG
rnacentral:lncRNA from 1 species